rnacentral:rRNA from 1 species
AGUGAACGCUGGCGGUAGGCCUAACACAUGCAAGUCGAACGGCAGCACAGUAAGAGCUUGCUCUUACGGGUGGCGAGUGGCGGACGGGUGGGGAAUACAUCGGAAUCUGCUUUUUCGUGGGGGAUAACGUAGGGAAACUUACGCUAAUACCGCAUACGACCUACGGGUGAAAGCAGGGGAUCUUCGGACCUUGCGCGAUUGAAUGAGCCGAUGUCGGAUUAGCUAGUUGGCGGGGUAAAGGCCCACCAAGGCGACGAUCCGUAGCUGGUCUGAGAGGAUGAUCAGCCACACUGGAACUGAGACACGGUCCAGACUCCUACGGGAGGCAGCAGUGGGGAAUAUUGGACAAUGGGCGCAAGCCUGAUCCAGCCAUACCGCGUGGGUGAAGAAGGCCUUCGGGUUGUAAAGCCCUUUUGUUGGGAAAGAAAAGCAGCAGGUUAAUACCCCGCUGUUCUGACGGUACCCAAAGAAUAAGCACCGGCUAACUUCGUG